UACGAAGGGGGCUAGCGUUGUUCGGAAUAACUGGGCGUAAAGCGCACGUAGGCGGAUCUGUAAGUCAGGGGUGAAAUCCCGGGGCUCAACCUCGGAACUGCCUUUGAUACUGCAAGUCUAGAGUCCGGAAGAGGUGAGUGGAAUUCCUAGUGUAGAGGUGAAAUUCGUAGAUAUUAGGAAGAACACCAGUGGCGAAGGCGGCUCACUGGUCCGGAACUGACGCUGAGGUGCGAAAGCGUGGGGAGCAAACAGG
rnacentral:rRNA from 1 species